rnacentral:rRNA from 1 species
UACAUGUGGGGCAAGCGUUGUUCGGAAUUACUGGGCAUAAAGGGUGCGUAGGCGGCUUGAUAAGUCAGUGGUGAAAUCGUCCGGCCCAACCGGACACGUGCCAAUGAUACUGUCGAGCCAGAGUGCGUGAGGGGUGGGGGGAACGAGCAGUGUAGCGGUGAAAUGCGUAGAUAUUGCUCGGAAGGCCAAAGCCGAAGGGACCCCACUGGUACGCAACUGACGCCUGAGGCACGAAAGCGUGGGGAGCAAACAGG